AUUGAGGGGAAUGUUGGCUGGCUCGAGGCUUUUCACAAGGAGGUUCUCACUGGCAAGAACUACAAGGCUUCGGACCAGGCUUCAUUCCCCUCAAA
rnacentral:pre_miRNA from 2 species